rnacentral:rRNA from 1 species
CCUAAUACAUGCAAGUCGAGCGAAUGGAUUAAGAGCUUGCUCUUAUGAAGUUAGCGGCGGACGGGUGAGUAACACGUGGGUAACCUGCCCAUAAGACUGGGAUAACUCCGGGAAACCGGGGCUAAUACCGGAUAACAUUUUGAACCGCAUGGUUCGAAAUUGAAAGGCGGCUUCGGCUGUCACUUAUGGAUGGACCCGCGUCGCAUUAGCUAGUUGGUGAGGUAACGGCUCACCAAGGCAACGAUGCGUAGCCGACCUGAGAGGGUGAUCGGCCACACUGGGACUGAGACACGGCCCAGACUCCUACGGGAGGCAGCAGUAGGGAAUCUUCCGCAAUGGACGAAAGUCUGACGGAGCAACGCCGCGUGAGUGAUGAAGGCUUUCGGGUCGUAAAACUCUGUUGUUAGGGAAGAACAAGUGCUAGUUGAAUAAGCUGGCACCUUGACGGUACCUAACCAGAAAGCCACGGCUAACUACGUGCCAGCAGCCGCGGUAAUACGUAGGUGGCAAGCGUUAUCCGGAAUUAUUGGGCGUAAAGCGCGCGCAGGUGGUUUCUUAAGUCUGAUGUGAAAGCCCACGGCUCAACCGUGGAGGGUCAUUGGAAACUGGGAGACUUGAGUGCAGAAGAGGAAAGUGGAAUUCCAUGUGUAGCGGUGAAAUGCGUAGAGAUAUGGAGGAACACCAGUGGCGAAGGCGACUUUCUGGUCUGUAACUGAC